UUGUCGCUGGCCUCAGCAAUGGGGCAUGUGCACACUUUGUUCAUCCACCCUUCACACCACUGUGCACUUCUCAUGGGUCGGGUUGCGUCUGAAAUAUGGCAAAGCCCUUCUCAUGUGUUUUAACCACACACUAUACAAGUUUUAGAAUGUAACAAUCAUGCAUCAAUGCAUAUAAUACAACUUUCAGCAACGGAUCUCUUGGCUCUCGCAUCGAUGAAGAACGCAGCGAAAUGCGAUAAGUAAUGUGAAUUGCAGAAUUCAGUGAAUCAUCGAAUCUUUGAACGCACCUUGCGCUCCUUGGUAUUCCGAGGAGCAUGCCUGUUUGAGUGUCAUGGUAUUCUCAACCCUGCUACAUUUGUUGUGUAGCUGGGCUUGGACUUGGAGGUUUAUUGCUGGUGUUCUCUUUUGAACGCGGGCUCCUCUGAAAUGCAUUAGCUGGAAUGUUACCGAGCAUGAUUCAACGUGAUAAUUGUCUACAUUGCUUCAACUUGGUAUUAAUUCUGUUUCAGCUUCAAACCGUCCCUUGCGGACAAUAUCUUGAACAUCUGACCUCAAAUCAGGUAGGACUACCCGCUGAACUUAAGCAUAUCAAUAAGCGGAGGAAAAGAAACUAACAAGGAUUCCCCUAGUAACUGCGAGUGAAGCGGGAAAAGCUCAAAUUUAAAAUCUGGCAGCUUUGGCUGUCCGAGUUGUAGUCUGGAGAAGCGUUUUCUGUGCUGGACCGUGUACAAGUCUCUUGGAACAGAGCGUCGUAGAGGGUGAGAAUCCCGUCUUUGACACGGACUCCCAGUGCUUUGUGAUGCGCUCUCAAAGAGUCGAGUUGUUUGGGAAUGCAGCUCAAAAUGGGUGGUAAAUUCCAUCUAAAGCUAAAUAUUGGCGAGAGACCGAUAGCGAACAAGUACCGUGAGGGAAAGAUGAAAAGCACUUUGGAAAGAGAGUUAAACAGUACGUGAAAUUGCUGAAAGGGAAACGAUUGAAGUCAGUCGCGUCGGCCAGAACUCAGCCUGGCUUUUGCCUGGUGCAUUUUCUGGUUGACGGGCCAGCAUCAAUUUUGAUCGCUGGAUAAAGGCCUUGGGAAUGUGGCACCUUCGGGUGUGUUAUAGCCCUUGGUUGUAUACAGUGGUUGGGAUUGAGGAUCACAGCAUGCCUUUAUGGCCGGGGUUCGCCCACGUUCAUGCUUAGGAUGCUGGCGUAAUGGCUUUAAACGACCCGUCUUGAAACACGGACCAAGGAGUCUAACAUGCCUGCGAGUGUUUGGGUGGAAAACCCGAGCGCGCAAUGAAAGUGAAAGUUGGGAUCCCUGUCGCGGGGAGCACCGACGCCCGGACCAGACCUUUUGUGACGGAUCCGCGGUAGAGCAUGUAUGUUGGGACCCGAAAGAUGGUGAACUAUGCCUGAAUAGGGUGAAGCCAGAGGAAACUCUGGUGGAGGCUCGUAGCGAUUCUGACGUGCAAAUCGAUCGUCAAAUUUGGGUAUAGGGGCGAAAGACUAAUCGAACCAUCUAGUAGCUGGUUCCUGCCGAAGU
rnacentral:rRNA from 1 species